rnacentral:misc_RNA from 1 species
AGAAAACAGACUUAACUAAUUAAAAAUUACUAAAUUUAUUAUUAGAACAUAGAAAGUCUUGUUUUCAAAGAGGGAGGUAGCAAGCCCAUGAUUCCUUAUUCCUGAAAUUGGUUCCUGGUUUUUUGCUGUCUUCUCUGCAAUAAGAAGAUGAGGUGCCUAAACAUGACUAGAGUAUGUUCUUUUAUUAAUUCCAUUCCUCCCUCUUCUAUAUUUGCAUUUUAUUCUUGUUUCUAAGCUCUUCUAUUAUUAAUUUAGUAUCUUUUACUUGUUUUCAAGCUUAACUAGCAUGGUGAUCAACUCUUACAUCUGAUUUUGUUAACUGGUAUCAGUGAAAUUGUACUUUUUUGAUUCAUUGACUGGUUUUUUAUUUAUUUUUUAUUCGGUGAUCUUUCUAUUGCUGAAAUGGUUGUGGAAGAAAAUUAGAUAAAUGUAUAAUUUUCAUUGUUUAGCUUAAAGAAAAUAAAGGAAAAGAAAGGUUUAAUGAUCCAUUUUAAUCAGUUGUUGAGACAAACUGGGGUUUUACUCUCAUUAGUUUACCCAGUAGAUUAAAAAAUUAGUGAUGAUAAUUCAGAGAUUUUUUUUAAUUUAAUUUUUUUUUAUUUUAUU